UAAGCAAAAAAUUGUACGCUUUCUUCUCUAAAUUUUCUAAUAGAAUAGGAAUGCCGACGCUACGGUCGCCACCGCCUACGCAAAGCCGAAGAGCCACCAGCCGCUCAAGACAAACUCGCCACAGCGCAUAGCACACGCAUGAACACUAACUGCGGCUGGUGCCAAAGGCGCCGCGCGGCGAAAUCCAAAUUCCGAAAUCGGAGUAAGCGCCAACGCAGCAACACAAACAGCUAGUGGCAAGUGAAAGAAUUUACUCCGAAAACGGUAACCAGCAGGAGCCAAGCAUUGCGCAUGCCUCAUUUUAAUGCCACACAACCAGCGAAGGCUCUCUAAGGACAUCCCAUUGCUUGCCACAACCACUGCUAAAGCAUCAUAGCACCGACCUCCCUCUUAUAUACUUGUCCUAAUAUAUACAACGAGUUGUUGUUGUUUUGCUUUUAGCAACCACACGUGCAACAGAAGAGUGGCAUUGCUGUUGGAAAAAAUGGGAUAAGAAAAAUUCGUAGGUGUACGCAAUGUGGAAGAAUAACGCCUCCAUUGGCUUCCAGUGGUGGCAGUGAAUCCCUGCCAGCGAACGCUUUAUGUAGGAGCUCGGACAUGUUUUGGCUGCUGCUGCUGCUGCUGUGCGCGCUGUGACUUACCUUUUGGCAAAUCCAUCAAAGUGCAACCUGAUGCCGCCUGCCCUCAACCACCCGACGCACGUCCUGCCAAACGCCAAGGAAUCACAUUGCAACGCUUUUGUUUUACUUAUUUCCACUGGCAUCAUCAGUGAUUGUUUGUUAUUAUUACUGUUUUUGUUGUUAUU